AUUGAACGCUGGCGGCAGGCCUAACACAUGCAAGUCGAACGAGUGGCGGACGGGUGAGUAAUGUCUGGGAAACUGCCUGAUGGAGGGGGAUAACUACGGGAAACGGUAGCUAAUACCGCAUACCAUCGGAUGUGCCCAAGUGGGAUUAGCUGGUUGGUGGGGUAACGGCUCACCAAGGCGACGAUCCCUAGCUGGUCUGAGAGGAUGACCAGCCACACUGGAACUGAGACACGGCCCAGACUCCUACGGGAGGCAGCAGUGGGGAAUAUUGCGCAAUGGGCGCAAGCCUGAUGCAGCCAUGCCGCGUGUAUGAAGAAGGCCUUCGGGUUGUAAAGUUCUUUCGGCGGGGAGGCGUUACCCACAGAAGAAGCACCGGCUAACUCCGUGCCAGCAGCCGCGGUAAUUC
rnacentral:rRNA from 1 species